AACGAACGCUGGCGGCAGGCCUAACACAUGCAAGUCGAGCGCACCUUCGGGUGAGCGGCGGGCGGGUUAGUAACGCGUGGGAACAUACCCUUUACUACGGAAUAGCCUCGGGAAACUGAGAGUAAUACCGUAUACGCCCUUCGGGGGAAAGAUUUAUCGGUAAAGGAUUGGCCCGCGUUUGAUUAGAUAGUUGGUGGGGUAAUGGCCUACCAAGUCUACGAUCAAUAGCUGGUUUGAGAGGAUGAUCAGCAACACUGGGACUGAGACACGGCCCAGACUCCUACGGGAGGCAGCAGUGGGGAAUCUUAGACAAUGGGCGCAAGCCUGAUCUAGCCAUGCCGCGUGAGUGACGAAGGCCUUAGGGUCGUAAAGCUCUUUCGCCAGAGAUGAUAAUGACAGUAUCUGGGUAAAAGAAACCCCGGCUAACUCCGUGCCAGCAGCCCGCGGUAAUACGGAGGGGGUUAGCGUUGUUCGGAAUUACUGGGCGUAAAGCGUACGUAGGCGGAUUGGAAAGUUGGGGGUGAAAUCCCGGGGCUCAACCCCGGAACUGCCUCCAAAACUAGCAGUCUAGAGUUCGAGAGAGGUGAGUGGAAUUCCAAGUGUAGAGGUGAAAUUCGUAGAUAUUUGGAGGAACACCAGUGGCGAAGGCGGCUCACUGGCUCGAUACUGACGCUGAGGUACGAAAGUGUGGGGAGCAAACAGGAUUAGAUACCCUGGUAGUCCACACCGUAAACGAUGAAUGCCAGACGUCAGG
rnacentral:rRNA from 1 species